UAAAGAUCCUGUUUGCUACUAAAAGCUAGUAUUUGAAUUCCUAAAUUUAUUUAGAUCAAUUUAAGCAAAAAUGCCUGGGGGAAAGGUUGCUAAGCUAUCAGCUAACACAAUGCAGGUGACCUGAGCUGCCCCCGCUGCAACACUUGUGUGCCUCACUGUAAUACAGCGUAGCAGCCUAGGCAGGACGUGGAGGUUUCCACAGGGUGACAGAAGAUGCUUGUCCAAGCCAUUGCUACCAGCAGUCCUCCCAGAGGAUACACCACCAGUGUUAAGAUGAAGGACUCCCUCUGAGACAGCACAGCUGGUUCUGCUUCUCAUCUGUACUGUCACUUCCAUGGAAAACACGGAGCUGAUCUAGGAGGACUUAAUUGGGGAGCUGUAACACAAUCACGGUGAAAAGCAGCACUGGAAGACCGCCCGUGGAUUUCAGCAGAUCAGAUUCCCCGUAGUUAAACUAAAUGUCAUCACACCGUACGUGGCUGCUGAUUUCAGGUUUGCUAAUUUGUAAAACAAUGUGAAGAACAUGCUGCAGUUGUGAGUGGAGCAGCUGAAUUAUAGGUACUUACACAGCACAGUAGGGAUAUGAAUUCUGUUUAUUGCACAAACCUGCCUCUAUAAUUAAUAGAAAUAGUAACAUUUUCUUGCUCUGCUUCCAUUAAUUCAGACUGAUAGCUUUGGAAGAUUGGAUUGGAUUAGGAAUUGCUUUUUUAUUUUUUUUUUUGGAAGAACAGGAUAGAAUCACAGGACUUUCUUGGCUUUUUUGCAUCAGUCCUGAUCUCCUUCAUUGUGCAAGGAGCAAAAUUACUAGCAAUGCCCUGUUGUUUGUAACAGACCAUCUGUCACCAUAAUUGUAGCUUUAUUUUGUUUUUCCCAUGCUUCUGGGAGAAAAGACUUAAACUUCCCCAGCUGCCUGUCUGCACUGAACAUUAUGAAAUGUAUUUUAAAACCUUGAGAAACAGCCACAGUCAGUCCAAAGCCUGCUUAAACCCCAGCAGUUCUCCACUAACGUUGGCACCUCCUGAUUAAAACUGGCUUCAGGGCUUACCUAACAAGCUGCAAAUGAUCUGAACAGCCAUGACUCCUUCAAUGGGGGUUUUAUAGGCCUUUCCCUCUCUUUUAGGAGGCCUGAACAUACCAAGGUUUCAAAUUGUGCUUUAUUUAUCUCAGUGGUAUGGCACAAUAAGCACUGUUGAUACUUUAUUGUGGUGGAUAGGAGGGCAUGGCAUGAAGCAGAGCUGAUGCAUGGGUUGGUUUAGCCAUCUCUGGCAACAAAUAAAAUAUAGCACAGGCUUCAGGCUGGGCUUAUUUUAAAUUUUGGGACUUUUUAGGGACUGGAAGAAGGGAGUGGCUGGAAAAGUGGCGUGAAAGCUGGGCUGCUGCUGAGGGGCAGUGGACUUCACCUCGCCUGGUGGAAAGCUUUGCCCCAGCACAGCCAGCAGCCUCGUCCCUCUCAGGGUCAGAGGCAUGGGAAUGGGUAUGUCAGGGAAUACUUAUUUUCCCAAUGGUUCAUUGAAAAAAUAUUAAUCUUAAUAUCUUUCUUACAUGAAGUACAUAGUGACCACUGAGCUGCUCUAAGGAGGACCUUUUAUUGAUACGACUCCGUAGCCAAGUGUAAUGCAAUUAAAUGAGUGGAUUUCAUUACGUAUAUUGACAGGGUGUCACUGACGAUUUCCAUUCCCCCUAUUAUUUCUAUAAAUAAAGUCAUGCCAUAAUCAGAAAAUAUGAACGUGCUAAGACCUCCAUUAAUUCUUCCCCAUACUAAUCUA